AAAAAUCCGGGCGCGGAAUUCAAGGGUGUGAGGCGAGCGGCUUAGGCCGCGAAGCAAUCGGAAGUGGUUCCAAGAAAAGCCUCUAAGCUUCAGUCUAACAAGACCGUACCGCAAACCGACACAGGUGGGCGAGAUGAGUAUUCUAAGGCGCUUGAGAGAACUCGGGAGAAGGAACUCGGCAAAUUGGUACCGUAACUUCGGGAUAAGGUACGCCCUUGUAGCUUGACUGGCCUGCGCCAGGAGGGUGAGAGGGUUGCAAUAAACUGGUGGCUGCGACUGUUUAAUAAAAACACAGCACUCUGCAAACACGAAAGUGGACGUAUAGGGUGUGACGCCUGCCCGGUGCCGGAAGAUUAAAUGAUGGGGUGCAAGCUCUUGAUUGAAGUCCCGGUAAACGGCGGCCGUAACUAUAACGGUCCUAAGGUAGCGAAAUUCCUUGUCGGGUAAGUUCCGACCUGCACGAAUGGCGUAACGAUGGCCACACUGUCUCCUCCCGAGACUCAGCGAAGUUGAAGUGUUUGUGAUGAUGCAAUCUCCCCGCGGCUAGACGGAAAGACCCCAUGAACCUUUACUGUAGCUUUGCAUUGGACUUUGAACCGAUCUGUGUAGGAUAGGUGGGAGGCUAUGAAACCGGAACGCUAGUUUCGGUGGAGCCGUCCUUGAAAUACCACCCUGGUUUGUUUGAGGUUCUAACCUUGGUCCGUUAUCCGGACUGGGGACAGUGCAUGGUAGGCAGUUUGACUGGGGCGGUCUCCUCCCAAAGUGUAACGGAGGAGUACGAAGGUACGCUAGGUACGGUCGGAAAUCGUGCUGAUAGUGCAAUGGCAUAAGCGUGCUUAACUGCGAGACCGACAAGUCGAGCAGGUGCGAAAGCAGGUCAUAGUGAUCCGGUGGUUCUGUAUGGAAGGGCCAUCGCUCAACGGAUAAAAGGUACUCUGGGGAUAACAGGCUGAUACCGCCCAAGAGUUCAUAUCGACGGCGGUGUUUGGCACCUCGAUGUCGGCUCAUCUCAUCCUGGGGCUGUAGCCGGUCCCAAGGGUAUGGCUGUUCGCCAUUUAAAGAGGUACGUGAGCUGGGUUUAAAACGUCGUGAGACAGUUUGGUCCCUAUCUGCCGUGGGCGUUGGAUAUUUGAAGGGGGCUGCUCCUAGUACGAGAGGACCGGAGUGGACGAACCUCUGGUGUACCGGUUGUCACGCCAGUGGCAUCGCCGGGUAGCUAUGUUCGGAAGAGAUAACCGCUGAAAGCAUCUAAGCGGGAAACUCGCCUUAAGAUGAGAUAUCCCCGGGGACUUGAUCCCCUUGAAGGGUCGUUCUAGACCAGGGCGUUGAUAGGUCAGGUGUGGAAGU
rnacentral:rRNA from 1 species